CGCUCAGCUGCAGGAGGGACCCGGACCCGGACCCGGACCGGGGCUUCGUGCUGCUGCAGGCCCAGAGGGGACAGCCUCAGAUCCUCAUGGACCAGAACACCAAGAACCUGGACCUGGAUCCAGUAUGUUUUUUUUCUGUAGGAGAAUUUAAAAUAAAAUCUGAACCAUUAUGAAAUAUGCAGCAGAGAGAGUCUUUCUUCCUGCUCAAAGGCUCCGUCAGUCUGAAGCUGUUUAACUUCCCUCUGUAAAGACGAAUGUCAUCAGUCUGAGAAGACUCUGCCUCUCUGUCCGUCUCCCCUCAGUUUAAUCCUUGGCUCUCUGGAGGAGCAUUAGGCCAAGCAGCUGGGGCCCCUGAACGCCUCUUGAAAAAGGCAGCCCCACUCCAACCAGGAGGGAGGAAGGGGGAGGAGGGUACGUCCAGACCACCUGGCUCCUGAAACAUAGAAAAAUCCACAUUUAAUGUCACAACUCCUGGAAGCUAAAACAACCUGUGUCCCCUUUCUUUCUUUCUUUCUUUCUGAGCUGAAACUCACAGCUGAAAUAAAGGACAAAUACAGUGUUUUACUUGUUUUCCCAGUCUGCACAUUUGCCCUGUUCUUAAAAAGGACAUUAGUGUUUUAACUCUGUACUCAUUUUCCCUUUAUUUCAAAAUAAGAGCGCACUUUAAAGACCAAAUUAUCUGGAUGAGAGUGAACAGGAUUAUUGUGCUUGUUUACUGAAUUGUCGUGUGAUUGUUGUCUAAAACUUUUUGUGUUUUCCUGUAGAAAAAUGAGACCAUCCACAUGAAUACUGGUGUAGUUUUCUGUUUAAAACCCUUCAGUGUCCCUGACUUAGUUUCCACAGUGUGUUUUCUGAUACGACCACUGGGGGGCGCUGAAGCUGGACAUUUCAAAGCAGCUUUAAUAUUCACUCAGUUGUCAGUUUAUUAGGAACACCUCGCUACCCUCAUGAAGGUUAUAAAGUUCACUUUCUGCACUGUGUUUAGUCUGCGGUGGGUGGACAAAAUAAUAGAAACACCUCUGAAUAAUGCAACACAACAGCAACACAAACUGCACAAAUGCAAAAACUGAUUAUAAACAUAUUCAGCCAAAAAAGCUACAGGAAAACAAGAAGCAGGAGACUGAGGACUGAUGUAAAUAUUUUAAUGUUUUCAACCGUAUAUAUACUGCACAAUAUAUACUACUGAUCAUGACUGCAAAUCUGUAUCAGUUGCUCACAAGAUAAUAACUUGUUCCCCAAAAUCACCAAAGAUCAGUUUGUUGUUGUUUAUACAUGAUAAAACACAGUAUUUUUCACAUAUCCAUCAAGAAAACAAACAAAAACACAGAUUGAAACAAACAAAACACUGACAUGCAGGAAGACAAAAUGAACAAAAUAAACACUAAUCAAACCAAUCAAACCAUGACAGCAUAAAAACACAAAAUGUUUAACUAACUUAUUUCCAACUUGUGCACAUUACUAUUUUGUAGUGACAACAAAUAAUAUAUUGUUUUGGCGCUGCAGCGUCUCUGUAGAAGGGUGCUUUUAAGAGAAAUGUUUUGUUGUGUUGUUUAGUUAUUAUUAAGAUGAUAAAAUGUUUGUACAAGAUAACAAAUCUCUUCAUUAUCUUUUAUGGAAUACAAGAGAAAAACUAUCUUUACCACUGCGUUAAAUUCUGCAGAUGUUUUCAUUCAUAUUUUAAAACAGUGUUCAUAUUGAUAAUAAA